rnacentral:rRNA from 1 species
GAUGAACGCUGGCGGCGUGCCUAAUACAUGCAAGUCGAGCGAACGGACGAGAAGCUUGCUUCUCCGAUGUUAGCGGCGGACGGGUGAGUAACACGUGGAUAACCUACCUAUAAGACUGGGAUAACUUCGGGAAACCGGAGCUAAUACCGGAUAAUAUUUUGAACCGCAUGGUUCAAAAGUAAAAGACGGUCUUGCUGUCACUUAUAGAUGGAUCCGCGCUGCAUUAGCUAGUUGGUAAGGUAACGGCUUACCAAGGCAACGAUGCAUAGCCGACCUGAGAGGGUGAUCGGCCACACUGGAACUGAGACACGGUCCAGACUCCUACGGGGGGCAGCAGUAGGGAAUCUUCCGCAAUGGGCGAAAGCCUGACGGAGCAACGCCGCGUGAGUGAUGAAGGUCUUCGGAUCGUAAAACUCUGUUAUUAGGGAAGAACAUAUGUGUAAGUAACUGUGCACAUCUUGACGGUACCUAAUCAGAAAGCCACGGCUAACUACGUG